rnacentral:rRNA from 1 species
GAUGAACGCUGACAGAAUGCUUAACACAUGCAAGUCGAUUCAAAGUUCCUUUCGGGGAACGGAGGAUGGCGGACGGGUGAGUAACGCGUAAGGAACUUGCCUUUUGGCCUGGGACAACUGUUGGAAACGACAGCUAAUACCGGAUAUUAUGAGAUUCUCGCAUGGGAAACUUAUGAAAGCUAUAUGCGCCAAAAGAGAGCCUUGCGUUCCAUUAGCUAGUUGGUGGGGUAACGGCCCACCAAGGCGACGAUGGAUAGCCGGCCUGAGAGGGUGAACGGCCACAAGGGGACUGAGACACGGCCCUUACUCCUACGGGAGGCAGCAGUGGGGAAUAUUGGACAAUGGGCCACAAGCCUGAUCCAGCAAUUCUGUGUGCACGAUGAAGGUUUUCGGAUCGUAAAGUGCUUUCAGUUGGGAAGAAGAAAGUGACGGUACCAACAGAAGAAGCGACGGCUAAAUACGUGCCAGCAGCCGCGGUAAUACGUAUGUCGCAAGCGUUAUCCGGAUUUAUUGGGCGUAAAGCGCGUCUAGGCGGAAAAGAAAGUCUGAUGUUAAAAUGCGGGGCUCAACUCCGUAUUGCGUUGGAAACUGCUUUUCUAGAGUACUGGAGAGGUGGGCGGAACUACAAGUGUAGAGGUGAAAUUCGUAGAUAUUUGUAGGAAUGCCGAUGGAGAAGUCAGCUCACUGGACAGAUACUGACGCUAAAGCGCGAAAGCGUGGGGAGCAAACAGG